AGCGCUCUUGUUAUAUCCAUAUUAGUUGUGACUAUGUUACCACCAUCUUCCUUUCUGAUCAUUGUCUGUAUCCUGUGCCACUUGCCUCCUGGCAGUCUGGUUAUAGAAUUCUAGGCAGAUACGAAGUUUGAGCCAUAAAUCCAAGCAUUGUGUUUUAGUAAAUAACAAGUCCCAGACCAGUUAAGAGAAAGAAAACCACCCCCUCCUUGUGUCUACUCUUUCUGCUUCAUCAUGCUGUCAAGUGAUCAUGAGAUAAAAUGAUCAACUCAGACCUCCAUGGACACACAUGUACCUGUAUUAACAUAUAUGCGUACAUGCACAUGUAUGUAACCAAAUGCAGUGCCUAGCCAAGGAGAGCUUACAGGGCAGGAUUUCUGACAAUGUGAUUCAAUGAAAAGUUAUGAAGUCGGCUCUAACCUAUUCAUCAUUGCUAAUCCCAUUCAUCGCCUCAAACUAGCAACAAUUGAGCCAUAUUAAAAAAAAAAAAAGAACAGCAACAAAGAAUAGAAAGGAAAGGAAUCUUCAUAAGGAAAACUCCACAAGAAUAAAAAAAGAGAACAAAAGCAGAGAUAUUGAAAAAUGAGCAAGCAGAAAAAAAUGUCUCAUAGAAUGCAGGGAUAUUAUGAAGUAAAAGAAUUUGAUGAUACAUUUCAAGGAGGAAAUCAUUUGUCAUUGGCCAACCUAAAUGGGACCCCAGAGAAGAGAAUGGAACAAGCACAGGAACGGUUGAAAAAUAUAACAAAAGAAUUCAAAGAUGAUAUCAGAGGUGAAAUUAAAGUUCUUAGGGAAAAACUUGAAAAGAGAACCAAUGCCUUAGAACAAAGACUGGAAAAAUUUAAUAAAAAGUUGCACAUUCUUGAAAACAAAUUGGAAGAGAUGGAACUGAAAGAUGAAGAUAUGCAACCUGAAAUAUUAGAACAAAGUCAAAUAAAAAAACUAGAAAAUCAACUCAAAGAAGAGUGUUGGUUCUUCUCUUCUUAAGACUAACUCCAAUAUUCCUAACUAUACUUAGGCCCAAUUUUCCAUAUCACCAAAAAAUAAAACAACUUAAAAAUGGUAA